GUCCAAAAAUGCAUACUCUUGGUGAGUCCUGGAGCAUGGCUGUCAGAUCUCUCAUAGGAGAGGUAUGUAGUCAGGGAGAAGAAGGGAUCAAGAAAGAGGAGAAGAGGAUU